GGCCCACCAACAGGUUCAUGCCAAUUGCCCUGGCACAAUCUUGCAAGCGUUAAACAUUUCGAUGAAGAACGGGCGGAGCGGAGAUGGAACAUUGCCUCCAAGGCAUACAAAGACAUGAAGAAUGUUGGCCCUUCACCCUCACCACCCAUAACAGUUGCACUCAACAAAUUCUCUCCAUCUCCUAAUUAUCUAGUAGAAACUUGUGACACUCUAAAAAGGUCUGCAUCUCCUCCUCCAUUGUUGUACAUUCAAAGGACCCGCUGCUGAUGAACAUAUCCUCCGAUCUCUUUCUUACCCCAAUCCAUCUUCUUCCCUGCAGCAACCUUACCUUUACUACCAUCAACCCUUUUACCACCAAUCGUGGAACUACUCGAAGUGUAAAAGCAAUAUUCAAAUCAUAAAGAGAAAGGAAAAAGUGCUUACCUAAUUCACUAAAAAGAAACCCAAAGAACCCCAAUAACCUCAGACCACGAAAAACCAAGGUAGAAGAAAACGAAUAAAAUUUGCAGAAAAAAUAGAUGGAAAAAAAGCCGAGAAUUUGCAGAGGAGGAAUGAUAAGAAUUUUCAGAGCAAAAGCAAGAGAAUUUAAUAAAUUUAUUUAGCGUAGGAGAAGGAAACAAAGUCC
rnacentral:lncRNA from 1 species